rnacentral:tRNA from 1 species
GGUGGCUCAGUGGUAGAGUGCUUGCCUUGCAUGCAUGAUACCCUGGGUUCAAUUCCUCAGCACCA